UCUCAUUUGUUCACCACCAUGGAAAAGCGCAUCUAAUAUUUCCCAAGCACCUUUAAUUGACAUUACGGCUGUCAUUCAUUCAUUUGUUGGGUUCUCAGGAACAGGUCAAGAAGCACAUCAAAUCCAUCGCUGUUGAAGAAUUGACAUUCUUCUGCCAUCCCGGUUGCUCCUCUUUGCUUUUAGUCAAGAUAAUCCCAAAGUCUUGAAGACCGCGCGCCAACUGCCUCAUCGUCAUGCCGAAGAGAAAUUCUUUGUGCACUGCACGUGGUGCCGAACAUGCACCUGCUCGCGGGGAUUGGCUCCUGCACGGGGUCGGACAACCAUACAGAAAAAAAAAAAAAUUAUCCAACUCCAUACAUAAAUUAAUCAGCAUGCAUGAUGCACGCAUUUGCACAUCGUGCAUAGUGCACAAAACAUUACUCUAUACCCACUAAAUCGAUGAGAAUGGCCGCUCUAUACACACCGCAUAUAAUAGAAAUGAUAAAUAAAUCAAAUCGAUCAUAAACAAAAUAAAUCAUAAAC
rnacentral:lncRNA from 1 species